GUUGGGGGAACAGGGAGAGGGAGACACAGAGGAGAGCGCCGAUGAAUAGAGACGCUUUCCUUAGCUUCCUGGAGAAGCAACGCCAGGCUUGACACUGAGUGAUGAUUGUCACGCAGAGACAGUCGGAAUAAUAACGCGGAAUCAAAUCCACAGAGAGAGGGGAGGAGGGGGCUCAGUCUGUGGAUACCUGCGCGUCUCCACUCUGGCCGCAGGUGCGCUACGGUCCCUCUAAAGGGAGUUUGAUCUGUGAGAGGCAAGUGCGAGAAGAACCAGUCCUGCAGGGAUUAUUUUUCAUUUUCUCGCCAAGUGUCAGUUUUAUUUAUUUUAUUUAUUCUUUUAGUUAAACUGAAAGCAAACUUUCUCUCCCCUUUGCGCCACCUGCAGUCACAGUUCAACUCCAGGUCUGACUCCAGCUUCAUUCGGAGCUUUGUAAGUCUGUGGGCUGUUCUUUCAGACCUUUCCUGAACUCGGAUUACACUGGACAGCACCUCCAGUCUGAAAGGAGAAUUCCUCAAAACUCCCAAGUUAACGAGAAUCAGGAGUCCUUUCCAGUCCAGUCUUUGCUUUAAAACGAGCUGAUGAAGAGAACAAUGUCUGGAUUAUUGCAGCCGCUGUUCAACCUGCCCCGGGAAAGAGGGGAGGAGUGAGGAAAGCAGUAAAAGAAGGGAGGAGGAAGAGGUGAAGAAGGGGGGAAGUCGGCGGCGUUUAGCUGCCGUCCACUAGUUCUUUAACGCCUUUGCUGCCCGGGUUCUCCACUCUCUUUUUACGAGAUACACGAACAAACAUCAAGAGACGCACGGGGAGGACCUGCGUUCACACCCUGGGCACUCAGGCUCAGAAUGCUUGACUGACUCGUUUCAAAACAGACAACUGGGCUUCUCUCAGGACAUAAGAAAACAAGAAAUCUGGCACACCGGCUUUACCUCUGGGCCAAACGGUACAAGAAACAGCAUAGCAGACUAUCCUAUUCAUCAAGUUUUCAUCCUGCUUUUAGUUGCAUAAAUACAUUCGUUUGACAGAUGACUUUGCUAAUUGCCUUUUCAAACUGCAGUAAUCUCCUGGUGCAGCGGGUGAAAAUUAAAAAUGCAGUACCCUGAGUAUUGUUUUUUCAUGUCUAAGCCUGCAUUUAUCUACGUGAAAUUAAUUCUCUAAUUUGUUUGUGAGAUAAACAGGGAAUACUUGAGAUCCCAAUCCACUUAAAGCACCUCCUCCGCUGCUUUACAUAUCCGUUCUGAAAUGCUGAUUUGUCCCUAAAGACUCCACCCGGCGGUCCUGCUAGUCAUUACCGCCGAAAUGAAGAGCAAACCUCGACUCUUUUGAAGGGUACUGUCUUUUCAAAGUGUCACCUUAAAGACAGUGUCAAAGCACUGUGCCUUCUCCUGGGCUGAAUAAAUGAAAGCCACAUUAGAAAGAGCUGUUUGGUGUUAGAUGCUGGGAAAUCACACUUGAACUGCAGUGUGUCCUACACUGCUAAUGCCUACGAUUCUGUAUGGAGGCAGGUGAUGACAUGCUUGUCCAAACACACAAAUCAUGAAGAAACUGAAAGCAGUCAGGCAUGCC
ensembl:lncRNA